CGUGGUCAUAUCACGUUGAAACACCGGUCUCCGUACGACUACAGAAGUUAAGCUACGUCGAGCCUGUUCAAUAUCUACAUGGGUGAUCCCUUUGGAAUACUAGGUGCUGUAAG